rnacentral:rRNA from 1 species
GACGAACGCUGGCGGCGUGCCUAAUACAUGCAAGUAGAACGCUGAAGGAGGAGCUUGCUUCUCUGGAUGAGUUGCGAACGGGUGAGUAACGCGUAGGUAACCUGCCUGGUAGCGGGGGAUAACUAUUGGAAACGAUAGCUAAUACCGCAUAAGAGUAGAUGUUGCAUGACAUUUGCUUAAAAGGUGCAAUUGCAUCACUACCAGAUGGACCUGCGUUGUAUUAGCUAGUUGGUGAGGUAACGGCUCACCAAGGCAACGAUACAUAGCCGACCUGAGAGGGUGGUCGGCCACACUGGGACUGAGACACGGCCCAGACUCCUUCGGGAGGCAGCAGUAGGGAACCUUCGGCAAUGGACGGAAGUCUGACCGAGCAACGCCGCGUGAGGGAAGAAGGUUUUCGGAUCGUAAAGCUCUGUUGUAAGAGAAGAAAGAGUGUGAGAGUGGAAAGUUCACACUGUGACGGUAGCUUACCAGAAAGGGACGGCUAACUACGUG